CCUACGGGCGGCUGCAGUGGGGAAUAUUGGACAAUGGGGGGAACCCUGAUCCAGCCAUGCCGCGUGUGUGAAGAAGGCCCUCGGGUUGUAAAGCACUUUCAGUGAGGAAGAACGCCUGGUGGUUAAUACCCAUCAGGAAAGACAUCACUCACAGAAGAAGCACCGGCUAACUCCGUGCCAGCAGCCGCGGUAAUACGGAGGGUGCGAGCGUUAAUCGGAAUUACUGGGCGUAAAGCGCGCGUAGGUGGCUUGAUAAGCCGGUUGUGAAAGCCCCGGGCUCAACCUGGGAACGGCAUCCGGAACUGUCAAGCUAGAGUGCAGGAGAGGAAGGUAGAAUUCCCGGUGUAGCGGUGAAAUGCGUAGAGAUCGGGAGGAAUACCAGUGGCGAAGGCGGCCUUCUGGACUGACACUGACACUGAGGUGCGAAAGCGUGGGUAGCAAACAGGAUUAGAUACUCUAGUAGUC
rnacentral:rRNA from 1 species